rnacentral:rRNA from 1 species
GGUGAACGCUGGCGGCGUGCCUAACACAUGCAAGUCGAGCGGUGCAGUUUGAAGCUUCGGUGGAAAGCUGCAUAGCGGCGGACGGGUGAGGAAAACGUAGGAACGUGCCCCUUGGAGUUGGAUAGCCACGGGAAACUGUGGGUAAACCGACAUAGACUCGAGAGAGUAAAGGCCGAAAGGCGCCAAGGGAGCGGCCUGCGGCCCAUCAGGUAGUUGGUAGUGUAAAGGACUACCAAGCCGACGACGGGUAGCCGGUCUGAGAGGAUGGCCGGCCACAAGGGCACUGAGAGACGGGCCCUACUCCUACGGGAGGCAGCAGUGGGGGAUUUUGGACAAUGGGCGAAAGCCUGAUGUAGCAACGCCGCGUGUGCGAUGAAGGUCUUCGGAUUGUAAAGCACUUUUUGGAGGGAUGAGGAAGGACAGUACCUCCAGAAUAAGCCUCGGCUAACUACGUG